CCUAAUUUAAAAAAAAAACUGAUAUAAUCACCCAAAAAAAACAAAGGACUAAUAAUGCAAAUGGCCCAUUUUGAACCCAUUUUAAAACCCAAAACUCAUUCCCUUUGUCUGUCAUUUUUGAGUUUGCCGCAGCCCCCUUUCCACCAUUUCAGACCCAUCUCCGAUCAACUACAACGACCAUGACGGCACCACGACGGAGCGCUACCGCUAGAUGAACGUGCACGGCGCUAGGGGAAACGGCAGUUAUUGCGACGUGGGAGUGUGUACAGUGCUGGUCUGCUGCUUGCUGUUGGAGUUUGCUGUUUUUUUUGGGCUGUACAGUGUUAUUAGUUUGGGCCUUAUUGGGCCUCGUUUUUAAUUGGGUUAGGUUGUAAUUUUGGCUUUGGGUCAGUUUUAGUGAGUAUAGUUGGGCUCGGGCAAUAAUUGGGUAUUACAAAUGAUGUAUAACCUUAAACCUUAAACAUGUAACUAACUCUAUGGUAGAUUAUAAUAUAUAUACAUACAUAUAA